UCAAAACAAAAAUAAACAAAUCAUACACCUAACCAAAGAACAAAAAUCAUGUAAAACAAAAACCAGCAAUGAAAAUCAAAACUCCCCCUUUGCCAAUGCACAAAGGGAUUGCUAACCCGCCUUUGCUGCGUUUUUUGUGAUCUCAAAUCUUCAUUUUUACUAACUAUAUGUGGAGUCAGGUUGGGAGGAUACGGUUGAACAAAUUCUUGAAAGCUCUUGAAUGAACCAACCGUAGCAAAGUUUUCUGGGUGAUUAUAGAGAUGUGAUUAUACGAUACUUCAACAGUUCAACUACAUCCAUGCAAGAGAACCACGAUCAUUUGUAACUUGUGGACGGCCUCUAGUUGGCGUUGGUGGUCUGUUUGCAUUAAGCUCCUAAUUACAUGUGAAGAACAUGUUCAUGUUAAUAACAUCAAUAAGACAUAAUAAAGUGAUGAAAAUAUGGAUUUGAAAACGUACCUGCAUCCAUGUAUCAUCGAUAUGCCGUUCAGGGGAAGUUUCAGGUGAUGAAAUUGCUGGUGGCAGAGGAUGAAUAAGUUUCGGAACCACUACAAGAUCUCUACCCAGCACUAAUAUCGCGCCUGCAUUAUUUGCGGUACCUAGAGAAUACACCAAUUGGCAAAGUUCAGUACGUAUCAUUAGAUAUGUGUCUAGGGGUGUUUUUUUAACCUAAACCCGACAACCGACCCUAAUAAAAUUAACCCAAACCCGAUUACGGUGUUACCCAGUUAACCCGAACAAAAUGGAACCCGAAACCCAAAAAUAGUAUCCGGGUCGGUAAUUGGGUUAACAAAUGUUAAUCGGAUUGACCCAAUUAACCGGGGAAUUAGAUUAAAAAAAUGUCAAUUAUAACUUUAUAAAUAAUUCACAACAGAAAAGUCUAAAGUUCCUCCCUCACGUUUUUGUUUUGUCGUGAACAAGAUUUUUUUGUUUCGGUGUUUCAUUGGUUGGUUUGCCGGACUAAAAAGAUUCGGUUACGUUGAUAUGAUUUGACUUUUUAAUUUAUACGAUGGGUUGAUACGGUUUGGUUUUGUGAUUAUUGUAUUUGACUUUUUUAGGUAAUAUAUAUGUUUAGCGAAUCGGUUUGAACGAAAUAUCAUAUUGGGAGUGUUUUUAUUUGGCAAUUUGUGUUUUUUACUUAAUGAUCAUGUUAAAUUAAAUUGUAAAGUAAGCAUUGCAGCUUGUAUUUAAAAAUCCGUGUACCAAUUAACCCGACCCGAAUUAACACGAAACCUAUUAACCUGAAUUUUAUUUAGGUCGGGUUACGCAUAGGAUUCACAUGACAAAAAAACCCAAAUAACCCAGAACCCAAUUAAAAAACCUGAAUAAUACCCCUAGAUAUGUCAAAUCCUACCCAGUUACGAGUGCUAACUAGCUUUAUUAUAAAAAAUUUGAAUCUUAUUGUAACGUUAUCGAACGAAAGAAUUACCACAAUAAUUAGUGGCUGAGAAGAGGGUAAUCAAAUGUCCUUGGGCAAAACGUUCAAAUCCAUCCAUUACACAUUCAUGUGCACGUACAAUCAGUUGGAGAUCAUUGUUGUUGCAGAAUUCCAUAACACGAUCAGGCUGUCAAAUCCAUGCAUAUGCAAAUGAAUUAUGAAUUAUGAAUAAUGAACCAUCUUUUCAUAUAUAUAAUAACUAAUAAGAAACAACACUAACCCCGAAAGUAACUAACCCAGGACCUCUGGCAUUUGGUCGCAGUCCUUCCACACUGUCAUUUUCUGUUGGGUCAGACCUAUUCAGAAACCUAACUGUCAGAACAUGUAUAGAGUAAUUCGAUAAAAUUCAGUUUUAACAAUGGAUGAACAAAGAACCAACCACAAUAAAUCCAUAAGUACAAUUGAACCAGCUUCCAUCGUGAUCGGCCGUUGAAGGUUUUCGAUCUGCUCAAUAUGAUUAAUUGACCUCCCAAUACCACCAUGCAUACAAAUAAUCUUUUUCUCAAUUAACGCGGCCAGUGGCAACCAGUUGAAUAAUCUGUUUAUCCUGUGCCAUACCCAGAUUCCAUCUCUCUCGCCCUGUUUAUAAUUAUUUAUUAUCAUUGAAAUUAGAAAUGACAAUUUCUACCUAUUAACUUAUGCAUUGAUCAACUGAGGUUCAAUUUUAUCACUGGUUUAACAGAUCAAAAGUCGCCCAAAAUGUAAUUUUAAUGCAGAAAUUCUCCUAAACCAUUUUAUUAAUAAAGCAAGUAUUAAUGAAAUGAUAUAAACUUAUAAAUUUAGGGGUGCCAACAAGCCUAGCUGAGCCCAAGCUCGCCAGGCUCGAGCUCGGCUCAUUGGUAGUUUCUCAAGCUUGAGCUCGGCUUGUUUAUUAUCUAUUCAUUAAUAUAUUAAAUAGAAAUAAUACAAAUAAUAGACUCGUUUAGGCUCACGAGCUCGAUAAGUGAAGCUCGGGCUCGUUUACAAAACAAGCUUAUUUUUAAGUUCGGGCUCGGCUCGCAAACAAGUUUAAAUAAGCUCGACUCGGCUCGUUUCCUAGACAACUUUAAAUAAGGGUAAAUGUUAUUAAAUAUUAAUAAAACUUAAUAUUACACUAAGGCUCGACGAGCCUGGCGGGCUUCACAUGCCAGACUCAAGCUCGGGCUCGGUAAAUAAACGAGCUUUGUUUUAGGCCAAGCUCGGCUCGGGCUUGAUAAGGCCCGGCUCGUUUCGAGCUUUUUCUCAAGUCGAUCUCAAGCAGCUCGCGAGCCGCUUGGCUCGUUUGCACCCCUACUUAUAAUCAUAUUUGACGUGCUAAAGAAAAUUAUAAUGAAAGAGUUUUGGAUCACCAGUCAAGAUCCUUCUAUGGGGAUCCGUACUCAUCAAAAAGUCUCAUGA
rnacentral:lncRNA from 1 species